UACGGAGGGUGCAAGCGUUGUUCGGAAUUACUGGGCGUAAAGCGGGUGUAGGCGGUCGGGAAAGUCGAAUGUGAAAGCCCUUGGCUCAACCAAGGAAGUGCAUCCGAAACUGCUCGACUUGAGUAUGGGAGAGGAAAGUGGAAUUCUCGGUGUAGCGGUGACAUGCGUAGAUAUCGAGAGGAACACCGGUGGCGAAGGCGCUUUCUGGCCCAAUACUGACGCUGAGACCCGAAAGCGUGGGGAGCAAACAGGAUUAGAUACCCCUGUA
rnacentral:rRNA from 1 species